rnacentral:lncRNA from 1 species
GCAGCUGAAUUGGAGGAUGAUGUGCUUUCACGAGGACUAAUUCAGCUGACAUUUCAUAGCGAUUUUGGUUAAGGGAUCCUCUACGUCGGGGUGGCGACUUUAAAACUAGCGCUUGGUGGGAGGCAACCCAUCGUUGGUUUGUUUGUGUUUUUGUUUUUCUUGUUUUUUUUACUUUAUGUUUUUGUUUUGUGUUUUCCUAAGUUUUGGUUGCUAGUGCGGAUACUUUGAUUUUUGGGUGUUAAUGUCUUUGUUUUCAGCGCUGCAAUUUCUACUCUUACUUUGCUGCCAACGCUGAAUAGGCCAGCUCUGCAAUGGACAGAGCUGAAUUUUUAUUCUGACGGAGGCCAGCGCUGUACGUCUACUCUGACUAUGCUGAGCAGUGUCAGAGCUGAAUUCCACUCUGCAAUUUUCAGCGCUGACAUUCUCCUCUCUGCAACAGUGCGCAAAUCCCACUUUUCGUCACCUC